rnacentral:rRNA from 1 species
AUGCUUGCAUAUGGAGCUCCCAGUGAUUCACUCGACGACUAUGGGCGCAUGGCCGAGUCCACCAGCAUAGAGUGUUUCUACAAGUUCUGUCGGGCAGUGAUGGCAGUGUUUGGGCCACAAUACUUGAGAACACCCAAUGCGGAAGACACUGCUCGGAUCCUAGCCCAGAAUGCAGCAAGAGGAUUUCUUGGGAUGCUUGGAAGCAUCGACUGCAUGCAUUGGAAAUGGAAGAAUUGCCCAUUUGGUUGGCAGGGGAUGUACAAAGGCGCCAAAGGCGGUUGCAGUGUGGUGCUUGAGGCGGUAGCCACACAGGACCUUUGGAUUUGGCACUCCUUCUUUGGUAUGCCAGGAACUCACAAUGACAUCAACGUGCUGCAGUGCUCUCCUGUUUUUGCCAAGCUCGUUGAGGGCCAUUCUCCUUCGGUGAACUUCGAGAUCAAUGGGCACCAAUACAAUAAGGGGUACUACCUAGCAGAUGGCAUGUAUCCGAGAUGGUCGACAUUUGUGAAGACG